UACGGAGGGUGCAAGCGUUAAUCGGAAUUACUGGGCGUAAAGCGUGCGUAGGCGGCUUGAUAAGUCAGAUGUGAAAGCCCUGGGCUUAACCUAGGAACUGCAUUUGAGACUGUUAGGCUAGAGUUGAGUAGAGGUAAGUGGAAUUUCAGGUGUAGCGGUGAAAUGCGUAGAUAUCUGAAGGAACACCAGUGGCGAAGGCGACUUACUGGACUCAAACUGACGCUGAGGUACGAAAGCGUGGGUAG
rnacentral:rRNA from 1 species